rnacentral:rRNA from 1 species
AUUGAACGCUGGCGGCAUGCUUUACACAUGCAAGUCGAACGGUAACAGGUUAAGCUGACGAGUGGCGAACGGGUGAGUAAUGCAUCGGAACGUGCCCGAACGCGGGGGAUAACGCAGCGAAAGCUGCGCUAAUACCGCAGACGAUCGGAGGAUGAAAGAGGGGGACCGUAAGGCCUUGCGCGAUCGGACCGGCCGAUGUCAGAUUAGGUAGUUGGUGGGGUAAAGGCUCACCAAGCCGACGAUCUGUAGCUGGUCUGAGAGGACGACCAGCCACACUGGGACUGAGACACGGCCCAGACUCCUACGGGAGGCAGCAGUGGGGAAUUUUGGACAAUGGGCGAAAGCCUGAUCCAGCAAUGCCGCGUGCAGGAAGAAGGCCUUCGGGUUGUAAACUGCUUUUGUACGGAGCGAAAAGGCUCUCUCUAAUACAGGGGGCUCAUGACGGUACCGUAAGAAUAAGCACCGGCUAACUACGUGCCAGCCGCCGCCGUAA